rnacentral:sRNA from 1 species
UAUAAAAAUAUUUAAUUAUUAUUUUAAAUUUAAUAUCGAAAUUGUUAUUUUACCGUUUUAUUUAACAUAUUAUAUAUAAUUUAUAAAUAUAUUCGUAUUUAUUUAUUUAAAAAACGAAUUAUAAACGGUUUUAUAUAAAUAUAUAAAUACCGGUAUUCCGGUAUUUACCCGUUUAAAUUUCGUUAUUGCGAUUCGAAUAAAUCGUUUUCGAUUUACAAAUUAAUUUAACGGUAAAUUAAUAUAUUUUUUUUUAAUUUAACGUUAUUAGCAAACGGUUUUUACAAUUGGUUACGUAAUAAACGGUUUUUAAAAUAUAAAUUUAUUUUUUAUUAACGGUACCAAAAUAUUCGCCAAAUUGCAUAACCACGUUACGGUAAUAAAUAUAUCGCGAUAUCCGGAUUUUUUUUUUACCGUUAAAUAAUUUUUACGGGCCAAAUAUGCGGUAAACCGUAUAACGGUUAAAACGCAUUAUUUUAAUUUAAAUACCGUUAAUAUUAUUUCGAAUUUACAAACCGUUAUUAACGAAAUAAUUAUUUUAUAAUAACGCGUAACCCAAAAAUAAAUAAAUAAAUAAAAACGCCUUUAACGCGUUUUACAUUAUAAAAUUAAAAUAACGUUAAAAUUAAAAAACAAAUAAUUCCAAACCGUUAAUACGUUAAAAAAUAUGCGGGUCGUUUAUAAAACCAAAUAAACGUUAAUCGAAAAAAUAACCCUAUAUUAAUAAAAAAAAUUCGUUAAAAAUAUAUAAUAUAAAAAUAAAAAUUAAAUUAUUUAAUAUUGGCGAAAAAUAAAAAAUAUAUUUAACGGAAUUAAAAUAUAAUAGAAAAAAUAUUUGGAAAAUUU